UACCCAGGCACACCUGAGGUUUCUUCUAAAAGGCAGUCUUUUUAUUUGAAACAAGGAAGUGCAGACAACGUUUUGGCUCCUCUCUGACUUGAUAAAGGCUCAAUUGUUGACUCCACUUCCUUGUUUCAAAUUUUUAAAAAAAAGAGUGCCUUUUAGAAGAAACCUUAGGUGUGCCUGGGUA